GUUUUAUGGCCACGCUGGCACCGCUGCUGGCGCACUGGCCCUACACGUGGAUCUGCCAAGAUUUAAAGUCGUCGCAACAUUAUUCAACUACUGGAUAAAACAUUUAAAUGGAUCAUGCUAUGAAUCAACCAGAGUACGUUACCUUUGACCUGUGCUCCUGCCGCCUCUCCUCAUGCUCCUCAGCUUUACACGCCUGUUCUCCACUGGGUCCAUCAUCAGGAGACAACAAUACGCCUGAUGCCCCCCCGUGCUGUGUGUGAGCCCGGACCACAAACACUGGCAGCGUGUGUACACAGCAGGUCUCAUUUCCUCCUUCUCGGUUUGUCUUCAGAGCCGAGCCCACAAUGACAUCAGCUUCCGCCAACACACCACCCGUCGCCAUGGCACCGCACAAAGACAUCUCUGGCCCGGAGGAAGGAGGGGGACCAUCAAGCCUGUCACAUUUUACCCAUUAUGGUGAGACUGGUGCAGCUUCCUCCAUCUAACCCUUCUCUAUUGCUCUUUUUUCUUUUUUUUUUUUAAGCGAAUUGGUGUUUGAACAGCCGCUUGUACUGUUUACCAGAGCAUCAAAGAGCCACCUGACCUUGGUGACCAGUACACCCCUAUAGGCCUGUGUUCUUCACUACUGCCACUGCUGUACUCUCUUUUCACUAAUACUUCUCCAUUACAACAAAAUGUCCCACCUCAGGCAUGUACUUCAGAGCUUUUCU